rnacentral:rRNA from 1 species
AACGAACGCUGGCGGCAUGCCUAACACAUGCAAGUCGAACGAGACCUUCGGGUCUAGUGGCGCACGGGUGCGUAACGCGUGGGAACCUGCCCUUAGGUUCGGAAUAACUCCCCGAAAGGGGUGCUAAUACCGGAUAAUGUCUUCGGACCAAAGAUUUAUCGCCUUUGGAUGGGCCCGCGUUGGAUUAGCUAGUUGGUAGGGUAAAAGCCUACCAAGGCGACGAUCCAUAGCUGGUCUGAGAGGAUGAUCAGCCGCACUGGGACUGAGACACGGCCCAGACUCCGACGGGAGGCAGCAGUGGGGAAUAUUGGACAAUGGGCGAAAGCCUGAUCCAGCAAUGCCGCGUGAGUGAUGAAGGCCUUAGAGUUGUAAAGCUCUUUUACCCGGGAUGAUAAUGACAGUACCGGGAGAAUAAGCUCCGGCUAACUCCGU